rnacentral:rRNA from 1 species
UGAGGAAUAUUGGUCAAUGGGCGGGAGCCUGAACCAGCCAAGUCGCGUGAGGGAAGACGGCCCUAUGGGUUGUAAACCUCUUUUGCCGGGGAGCAAGGAGCGCCACGCGUGGCGCGGCGAGAGUACCCGGAGAAAAAGCAUCGGCUAACUCCGUGCCAGCAGCCGCGGUAAUACGGAGGAUGCGAGCGUUAUCCGGAUUUAUUGGGUUUAAAGGGUGCGUAGGCGGCAUUUCAAGUCAGCGGUAAAAUUGAGAGGCUCAACCUCUUCGAGCCGUUGAAACUGGAGUGCUUGAGUGGGCGAGAAGUAUGCGGAAUGCGUGGUGUAGCGGUGAAAUGCAUAGAUAUCACGCAGAACUCCGAUUGCGAAGGCAGCAUACCGGCGCCCGACUGACGCUGAAGCACGAAAGCGUGGGUAUCGAACAGG